rfam:Odoribacter splanchnicus DSM 20712, complete genome.
AAAGGUGUCUAUAACCGGGGGGAUCCACCUCUUUCCAUUCCGAACAGAGAAGUUAAGCCCCUGAGUGCCGAUGGUACUGCCUUAUGGUGGGAGAGUAGGUUGGCGCCGAAU